UACGGGGGGAGCAAGCGUUGUUCGGAAUUACUGGGCGUAAAGGGCGCGUAGGCGGUCAGCACAAGUCAGUUGUGAAAUCUCCGGGCUUAACUCGGAAAGGUCAACUGAUACUGUGCGACUAGAGUGCGGAAGGGGCAACUGGAAUUCUCGGUGUAGCGGUGAAAUGCGUAGAUAUCGAGAGGAACACCUGCGGCGAAGGCGGGUUGCUGGGCUGACACUGACGCUGAUGCGCGAAAGCCAGGGGAGCGAACGGG
rnacentral:rRNA from 1 species